UUAGACCAAUUGUUACUUCUUUUGAUUAACGAAUCUUAUAUUAUUAUCGUUCUAUUAUUAUCACGGUGAAUAAGAUAUUUAAUGAUCUUUGUGGAUAAUGCCAGAAUAUCACGGUCAAAUGUGAUCUUGAGCAAUCUUUAAUAAUCUUUUGUCUUUGUCAGGGGUACUGAGAUCUUGUAACCGAGAUGCCGAGGAUUCUUUGUAGUUGAGUGUACUAAGGUGCACUUGAAGAUAGUGCUAAUUCAUCUAAGGUGAUGUGAAGUGCUUUACUCGAAGAGGUCAGGUGAUAAGAUGAGUUACUGUGACGUGCUGGAGAUUCUAUAUCUCUAGAUCUAAAUAUUAUCUAGUUAUCUAGUAGAUUGAAUAAGUGAAGAUCCUUUUCAAUUCAAAUACAGUGACUUUAAUUCAGAACUAGAAAUCACAAACGUAUAAUACAGCAUUUACAAUGAUGAAUUGUAUCAAAUAUAAAACAUUCAAAUUAACUACUAGAUUUAGUAUGAAUAAGAACAAAACCUGUCUCUAUUAGUACAUCCUUCCUCUAAGACAAUCUCAAAAUCGACUAACCCUCGUUUUUGUUUUGGUUAUAGUGGCUAAACCAAUUAAAUAACAGUUUUCUAUCAUGUGACAAACGCGUUGCUGGAUUUGAUUGAUAGGUGUCAAAGACGUCAUAGGAAUUACCAGUCUCGACCCAUAACCUUGACUAGAGUUCAUUUUAAAUAAUUAAAUAUAUUUUUUAAAUAAAUAAAAUAUUGACAUUGAUACGUGACAAUUACCUAUGAAAACGUUCAAACAUCUAUCUAUGUAUCGUCAAAAUAAUGUCCUGGCUAGUAUCGUGUGUGACGUCACUGCUAUUUCUUUAACUACUACACAUUAGCCAACGAACAUUACAGUUUGACAAUAAACACUUGAUAAAGACUUUCUACUGCUAUAAAUGAUACAUUUAUUCAUAAAUGGGAGACCUGUCUCAUGUUCUUAUUCGUCGCUACUUAUCUAUCUCUAAUACU
rnacentral:sRNA from 1 species